rnacentral:lncRNA from 1 species
ACACAAAGAAUAUUUGCUGCUACGGUAACUGAAGUUUAUAGCUGCUUGCUUUUUUUUACAGUGAAGACUGUAAGAAAAAUAUCUAAGAAUGCUGAAGCUACAGAAGAUAUCAAGGAUUGUGUCUAAAGGUCUGGAGUUGAGAGAGAUUGAUCUUUGUGUGUCAACUAAGCAACAUCCCAGCAAUAGUUCCUACAAGAGACUUCUCUGCUCUAAGGAGGUUGGAUUUCAUAUUUAUAAUAUCUUAAUUUUCACCAACAUGAUUUGGAUGACUCAAGUGGAACAAAGAAGUUAAUUGAGCACAUUAUUUCAGUUUAUUUCAUGGAAUUAUGCAAGACACAGAGCUUGUUAAAAAGAAGAAGAAAGAAAAACAAAGUAAAUACCAGUCUGCCUUCUCUCUGAACAGACAACACCUGCAAUCAUGGCUACCUGGAUAGCCAAAAAAAUGAAGUCCACUUGACUCUCAAAGAUGUAGAAGAAUUGUCAGUAGCCUCAUUUUAUCACUGUGUCCACCAGCUACCAAUUCGUGUUGCCAUAAGUUUAACACAAACAUUUGCUAUGAAAAAUGACUAGUGCUAUGAUUUUCUUCAAAAAAUGAAAUGAUCUGACAUUAUUACAUAGUGUUUUCUUGUGGAAUGAGAAGUUAAAAAGCCUGGCAGGGUAGGUGAUUUCUAGGACAAAUCAAAGUUUCAUAGAAAAGCAACAACACUCUAAGAAGAGUGCCUAAUAAACUAUGUGGUGGUGCUCGCCUUUAAUCCUAGCACUUAGGGAGGCAGAGGCAGGCGGAUCUCUGUGAGUUCGAGAACAGCCAAGAUACACAGAGAAACCCUGUCUCGAAAAACCAAACGAAAGGAAGGAAUGAAGGAAGGAAGGAAGGAAAGAAGGAAGGAAGGAAGGAAGGAAGGAAGGAAGGAAGGAAGGAAGGAAGAAAGAAAGAAAGAAAGAAAGAAAGAAAGAAAGAAAGAAAGAAAGGUGCCUAAUACAGGAGGAUGAUUUGGAAAAGUCACAGAUAUGUAACCCUACCGUUGUUCGAUAUAUUCGUACUGUUUUUUUGCAAGUUGCAGACUUAAAACUAUACAAUCCUAUUUAGAAUAAAUGGAAUGGAUUAUUGUUGCAUCAUAGGGCAAGUGGUGUUUGCUAGCUCUAUGCUUACAGAUGUCCAAAUAAGUCUGUGUUAUGUUUCUCAUAUCACCCAACUAUGUGGUCAGGAGGGAACUCUUUCUUGCAUUCACUAUAUACAGAGACUGUUAUAAAGUAUAGGACAAAGAAACAAAAUAGUUAAAUUAUAUACCCAAAGAGUUUUACAAAGACCAGUAAGCUUAAAAUUUGCAUGAGUAGUAUGGGCCUCUUGAAGGGGUGGGAGAAGAAUUAUAAAACAUAUACCUAUAAUGCAUUUUGUCCUCUGUAUUUUCCAAAGUUUUAGCAAUGGACACUGUAUUAUUUUGUUUUUACCUACUUGGUAUCGAUAUUAAAUAAUAUGUAAAAAUUAAAGUGGUAUCAUUUACAAGUUUCC